rnacentral:misc_RNA from 1 species
GAACAAUCAAAUUAGCCACAGGAGAAGGAUACAGACGGAUUUCUUCAAUGCCGCCACCGAGCUGGCCGGAGGAACCUCUGCCCCAGGAGAGCAGCUGGAGAAUAGCGGUGGUUCCGGCAUUGUUUGGAUGCGUUUCUUCGGGAGAAUCGUGCUUGUAGAGGAAGGGAACUUUUGGCGACCCGGACGACGAUGGAGGCGAUUGAAUCGGAGAAGAGAAAUGUCGGCAACGAGGUAGAUUGGCUGCCAAAGAGCGCUGUGAUCGAAGAAAGUACAUAUCACGCGAGCAAUCGGUC